rnacentral:rRNA from 1 species
UAAUAGCGUAUAUUUAAGUUGUUGCAGUUAAAAAGCUCGUAGUUGGAUUUCGGGUGGGACGCAGCGGUCUCGCAUUGCGUUUGUACUGCUGCAGCCCUCCUUCUUGCCGGGGGCGGCCUCUCGGACUUCACUGUCUGGGGGUCAGAAUCGGCGAUGUUACUUUGAGUAAAUUAGAGUGUUCAAAGCAAGCUUACGCUCUGAAUAUAAUAGCAUGGGAUAACACGACAGGACUCUGGCCUAUCGUGUUGGUCUAUAGGACCAGAGUAAUGAUUAAGAGGGACAGUCGGGGGCAUUCGUAUUCCGUUGUCAGAGGUGAAAUUCUUGGAUUUACGGAAGACGAACAUCUGCGAAAGCAUUUGCCAAGGAUGUUUUCAUUGA